UUAAAUGUACUAUGUAUCACGCCCCGUAAUUUAUUUUAAUUUCAUAAGUUCAUGCACAAACAAGUAAAGUAGCCUAGUGGUUAAAAGCUUAAAUAAUUUCCUUAUGGUCCUAGGUUCAAUUCCCCACAUCUUCAUUAUUUUUAUUUAAUUUUUGGCUUAUAAAACCUGGUCAACACCUCCAUUAUCAUCCACAACAAUUACUUUAUAGGCAAGGAUUUUUUCCUCCUUUAACUAGUCAACCUACUAUCUUUAGCCUCCUUUUCACUCCUCAUGUUCCCUAUGAUCAACUUUUCAAGCCUUUGUCCCCAAAAGCUUUAUUUUCUUCUCAAUUUCCUACCUUGAACUGUCCAUCCCACCUAAUUUAGCCACCAUUCGCUUUUCAUUUCAUUUUUGUUUUCUCCUCCUCUCCUUUGGUCAUUCCUCCCUUUUCUCAACCCUUUAUCAUCCAUUUUCUUUCAUUUUUAACCUUUAAACCACCAUUUUUCUCCACUGUUCUCCUAUUUUUACCACCCAUAGUUGACCACACCAC
rnacentral:lncRNA from 1 species